GGUCGGGUAGCUCAGUGGUAGAGCAAUCGCCCGGCAAGCGAGAGAGACUCGGGUUCGAUUCCCGGUCCGGCGG
rnacentral:tRNA from 1 species